rnacentral:rRNA from 1 species
ACGUUGCGACCUGUCAAAUAAUAUCCUAAGUAUUUGGCUAAUUUGUCUGUUUUUAGGCAGUACUGAAAGGUAUUUCCUUUAACAGUUUUAGCCGUUAACAUACUGGAUAUAAUUGACAGUAACGAAUCAUGGUGUUGAGCCACUUACUUUGUAAGUGUCCUUUAUGGCUGUUUGCAAGUGGGUUGGUUAAUUAGUUUUAGUCGGAUUUUGGUCCGUCUAACUAUUCCGCCUACUGUUGGUAAACUGUUCCUUGGACAGUGCUUAUAACACCGGUCGGCAGCGAUUCAGGUUCAGGCUCUUAUCCGACCCGUCUUGAAACACGGACCAAGGAGUUUAGCGUGUACGCAAGUCAUUGGGUGUAUAAAACCCAAAGGCGCAAUGAAAUU